AUAUGGAUUCUACUCAGCCUGGGUCCUACAAUACCUCAAAGAAUACUUUGACGCAAGAGAACCCAGAGGAGAUUCAGCAGCUGCAGAAUGUCAAAAGUUAUCAGCAGCGUACCUCAAGCAAGCAUUCCAGUCCAUACCCUAGUGCUCUGCGCUAUGCCUGCAGGCCAUCCCAAAACCACCCAAAAUGGCACACCUUGAGAAGUGGUUCCCACGAUCGCUGCUGAGUAAAGUGUAAAGUCUAUUUUGCACACCAACUGGAGACCUACAGUGCAGAGUAAAGCAGAAUCAGAAUCAAAAAGGCACUGGAAGAAUGGAGACAUUGGCUGGAAGGGGCCCACCAACCAUUUCAAGUUAUCACUAACCACGAAUACAUCAAAAAUGCCAAGCAAUUAAUUUACCGUGAAGCCCAGUGUGCAUUGUUUUUUACCAGAUUCAACUCCACUGUAACUACUGUUACAACUCCACAUGCACUAUGAACUGCAAGGCAGAUGCUAACUUAUGCUGUCAUUAUCCUAUAUACAAAACACUAAUACCUGAACACAAUUUGCCACCCUUUGUUAUUAUCGCACCAGUCCAUUGGGACAUUAUGUAUGGAGGAGAUACAAUUAGCACAAACAAACAAGCUCACUCUACCGAACUGCCCCCACAACAAGCGGUAUGUCCUUGCAAAGCUACGACAAAGAAUCAUGGAACGUAUACACACCUCGUUUAGCAAGGAACAACCAGGGAUCCACCAUACCACAACCUUGUCCAGAGCGCAUUUAGGUGGCCAUCACUUCUAGCAGUAAUACUACUUUGUGCCCAAGUACCUACCCCAUGCCAGCUGCCUUAUGGCCUGCUGGAGCCACUCCUGAAACCACGGAGGCCUUGGUCCCACAUUGUGGUGGACUAUUAAUGAAUUUUCCAAAUCAUAGGGACACACCAAUUAUAUAUUGUUUGCCAUGGACCAGUUCUACAUGGCCUGUUCAUGUGUGCCCCUUAAGGGCCUACUCACAUCCAUGGAGAGAGUGGAACUGCUACUGAACCAUGUUUAUCGUAAUUACGGACUAACUGAUGGCAUGGGUCUGGAAAUCCUUCUGUGACAUUUUGUGAUAGGAUUUUGACUCAGCCUCACUUUGGGAUGCUGUCCACAAGCGAUCAGCCAAGCCGUGCAAGUUAAUCAAGAGCAGGGGCAUCUCCAGAGAACCUAUGGUAGCAAGAAAUAACACCACAAUUUCUCACAUGGGAGGAGUAUGAUUCAAAUUCCCAAACCCACACUUCCACCAAUCUCACCUAGUUCCAAUGUGUUCUGGGUUAUCAACUCUCUAUUCCCAUGGUCAACGGAGCUAUAAGCAGUAAACAACUGGUACUGUCAGAGUAGGGACUUGUGGGAGAGGGCUUAUGUACCUUUCCAGAGGGCUGUUUAAUGCCAAAAACUCAAUGCAAAUUGUCAAAGUAACCCUCACGCUUUCUAUCAACCAGGCCAGGUAAUAUGGCUAUCCACACAAAAUAUCAAGCAAGAGCUACCAUGUGGGGCUCUAAUGAAUCAUCGAUUGGAAGGGAUACGGUCCAAAGGGUCAUUGCUGGGUGAAUACAGACAAUAUUCCGGACCCUCUCUUACCGAAAAGUUCCAUAGAAGCUACCCGACCAGCCAGCAGCGCAGCCCUGGAGAUGCCCCCGUAAAGAACACCUGAAGGUGUAUCUAGGAGGGGGGCUUCUCUAACGGUUCCCACUGCAAUCGCCACUCUGCCCCACCAGAGGGAAUCAUUACCCGAUUUCUGAACAAAUCUGGGUCAAGGGUCACUUCCUGUUUUUCCAUGUUCUAUGACCUCUUGUGUACCGACCUAGCUUUUGUUUUUGCUCUUUGCUCUUGUUCAUUGCAUUUUGGAUUGUGGGCCUCAUGAAUUGCCUUGAAUCGUGUACGGAACUUACAUGACUGUUUCCUAUGACUGUGUGUUUGGAUUACAUGUUUGGAUUUGGAUCUUCUGACUGCAAUAAAACCGUAUAUGGAUUCUAAUCACCUGGGUCCAACAGUAUCUCACAAUCAAACGCACAGCAGGCUAAAACAACAGCCGCUUGUCGAUUCCGCCUCGGAUCAAUCGGACACUCUCAUUAGAGACAACAUGCGCCCACUCAUACAGCAGGGAGGCUGGCCUUCAGAUAUACAAGCUUCAAGACACUGUUUGGUGCACCACAGCACAACUGUUUUUCCUGAGUGUAUAAUGGCUUUUGGAUUAAACCUGCAUGUUUGUGAGUUCUCCACUGAGUUUUGAAGAUCUUUCCGGAGAACAGGAAAGCCGCUCCACAGCCGAGAUGAGACUCAAUGUCCUCAGACAGCAAAUAAAAACUCCGGGCACGAAUCCAGCAGAUCUUUUUAUUGUGUACUCAGCAUAACAAACAUAAUGAAACAGAGGGGGGGAAAAAUUAUGACAUCGGAUCCUCCAAGCGUGACUGGGCACGAUCAACUUUUUAAACAGACGCAGCCAUGUUUUCUCAUUUCCCCCAUAAUUUAAUGCAUUACAGACAGAAUAUGAUGGAGUGAGAUGCGGUGUGCCGAGAUUAAACGUUUUAUUUUUUUAUUUAUUUUUUUUUGUAGAAAAAGAAAUUUGUUUUACCAGAAAACAUAGUCGCGUUUCAAGAACGAUGUCUUAAUUAAAACGCUUUGUGGUGAGCGAAUGCAGACGAUGGAGGCGGAUUGGAUAAAAAAAAAUAAAAAAUUAGACAGGG